rnacentral:misc_RNA from 1 species
GACGAACCGAGCGAACGUUGUUCGGAUUCACUGGGCUUAAAGGGCGCGUAGGCGGGUGAUCAAGUCAGGGGUGAAAUCCCCCGGCCCAACCGGGGAACUGCCUUUGAUACUGAUCGUCUGGAGGGGGAUAGGGGCACGCGGAACUUUCGGUGGAGCGGUGAAAUGCGUAGAUAUCGGAAGGAACGCCGGUGGCGAAAGCGGCGUGCUGGGUCCUUUCUGAUGCUGAGGCGCGAAAGCCAGGGGAGCAAACGGG